GCGGUGUAGCUUAGUUGGCUAUAGCGCUCGGUUCAUACCCGAGAGGUCGGGGGUUCAAGUCCCUCCGCCG
rnacentral:tRNA from 1 species